CACUAGUGUUCCGUAUUCUUUUUCUCAAAGACUACACAAACUAGGGAAAAACGGGUAGCAGUUCCUGUUACUAGAAAUGCCAGUGUUGCAUUACACCAAAAAAUACCUAGGGUCAUGCGGCUCAAAUUGACUUAAAAUGCAGUUGAAAAAGAUCGUCUAUUUUUUUCGCUUAAUGAAAAAGGCAUAUUUUUAAUGGCUCCGAC
rnacentral:lncRNA from 1 species